GACGAACGCUGGCGGCGUGCCUAACACAUGCAAGUCGAGCGGGGAUUUACGAAUGAAGUUUUCGGAUGGAUUUUGUAAGUUCUAGCGGCGGACGGGUGAGUAACGCGUGAGCAACCUGCCUAUCACUGGGGAAUAACGCAUCGAAAGGUGUGCUAAUACCGCAUGAGACCACAUGAUCGCAUGGUCGAGGGGUCAAAGAUUUAUCGGUGAUAGAUGGGCUCGCGUCUGAUUAGCUAGUUGGGGGUGUAAUGGACCACCAAGGCGACGAUCAGUAGCUGGUUUGAGAGGAUGAUCAGCCACAAUGGGACUGAGACACGGCCCAUACUCCUACGGGAGGCAGCAGUAGGGAAUUUUGCGCAAUGGGCGAAAGCCUGACGCAGCAACGCCGCGUGAUUGAUGAAGCCCUUCGGGGUGUAAAGAUCUGUCAGUAGGGACGAACAAAUGACGGUACCUACAGAGGAAGCAUCGGCUAACUCCG
rnacentral:rRNA from 1 species